CUCGGGGAUCUCGCUUUCUUUCCUUCCGCAUCGCCCAGGAUCCGUCCAGGUCGUUAAUCCCCAUCACCCAGCUAAGAGAAGCUCCAUUCCUUCUAGUCGAAAGUGUCUUCAGUAAAAGAACUAGAGAAAAAAUAUUUUUUAAAUAAACUUUUUGCUGAGGCUGCUAGAGAUUAAGAAAAAGGGGUUUUCAGACGAAAUCGUGUUCCUGAAAAAUAGUAUUCUGUCUGAUUUCUCGUCACAAACGGCUCCUGCAGAGCGAGUUUUCUUUGAGGAGUUAUUUACAUCUUGUUUAAGGAAGAGGAAUCGCCACGAUUAUCUGACUAUAAAUUAAAGGGCCUGCCUUUCUCUUGACCUUUCCGGAUGUAUGAGGCUGUGAACUCCCGAGUCCGACGCCGCGUGCCACACGGAAGAGCCGCUGGUCCCCGCGCCGUCACUCGUCCUCGUGUCUGUCAGCCGUGGGCCGUUUUCUCUAACUGUCUCGAAGUGGAGGCAGCAACUCAGACACCGGGGAAAGUGGGGUGUUAGUUUCAAUUAAGAUAAAUUCCUCAAAUCGACUUUUGUGUAAUGUACUCUUAAAUUGUGCCUCCAGGACACAAAGGAGUGCUUGGAUUUUCUGUGAUGGGAACGUAAGGAAAUUUGAGUGUGCUAAAGUGGUAACUUUAAUCAAUUUUUCAAUUAACAGUCAUUCACUAUGAAGAUGAUAAACUAUACUUAUAGUUUGUCUUAUAUCAUCCUAAUAAGCACUGUUUCAAAACUUACAAACCAAAGUUACUUCCUAAUUGGUGAGUUCAAACAACGUCCCGGCCUUUCUCAGCCCCAGUUCUGAAGACGCCUGUUAAUUGCCUUUCUCUCCCUUGCUGGCAGCAAGGACUCCACCAGUCAAGUCUUCCCAAUCGUUCUGCUGCUUGAAGACAUACUUCAUCCCCGUUCUUCCCCCGGAACAUCAUUAUCCAAAGCGUUUUCUAUAUUUAAUAUAUAUUGUGCAAAUUGUUUGUUUCUCUUUGAGGACUGGAGUCAGAUUUUAUUUCUUCUUAUUUUGCUUUACUUUAAUAGCCCCUAAUGCCUAGCAUGGUGGCUUGACCAAAUUAGAUGCUAUAGGUUUUCGUGGCAUGAAGGAAGAAAUGUUUGUGUUCAUAAUUUCUAAUUCCCACCCACCGCUAGCCGAUGGCACUCAUUCCUGAGAUGCCUAACUGGAAUGCAGUUUAUGGCCAAGAAAGGUUAUUUUCACUGUGCGUCCGGCUCAAAGGAAGUCAAAUUUAUGAUUUUGAAUUUUAAGAUCAUGAUCCAAUAAGAAAGAUUAUCCAUACUGGAAGUUGUCACAAAGAAACUGACCAUCUUGAAUUUAAAAGAAAAUAUCUAAAACUGUAUCAUGGAUGUCAGUGGUACAGGAG
rnacentral:lncRNA from 1 species